GGGAGCUGUGAGGAGAGGGGGCAGGGAGGGACUAGAGGUGGGGGGGAAGCUGUGAGGAGAGGGGAGGCUUCAUGCACUAGCCUGGCUGCUGCAAUGUCUCUUAACCAUAACUUCAGCAGCAGGUUCUCCUCUCCCCCCUUCCCCCAGGGCAGUGGCAAAGGCAGCUUUUUUGUUGGCUUGAGGACAGGGGUACUAGGCACCUGGUUUUCAGCUAGAACACCUGGUCAAAAAGGGACCCUGGAAGCUCCCAUCAGCAUUGCUGACCAGGCUGUUAAAAGGCAGGCUUCUUGCUGUGUGCGCUGCCUGCCCCACGCUCUGGCUCCGCAGAAUGGGAGCUGCAGGGGUGGUGCCUGCACUGUGCACUGCUGCCUGUCUGCCUAGGGGCCAGAAUUGCUGUCCUCGUCCUGGAGCAGCAGGGAGCGAGGGCAGGCAGUCAGGGAGCCAGCCUGCUUUAGUCCCACUGCACUGCUGAGUGGGCGGUACCUGAGGAGCCAAAAGUCUCAUUUAAAAAGCAACCUUGCAAAGCAGAUCCAAAUGCUUCUUCGUGCUGCCAUGAAUGGAAGAAGCUCCAAUGGAGUGAAGAGCUUCAUUUCUUUUGCAUGGUCCUGAGCUGGAAGCCUUCCAUAGGGGCCUCAGGCUGCUGGAAGAUGAAUUGCUGCUGGUUCUCGUCUACCUGGGGAGCCAGGCUGGAGUCGUC